GUAAAGCUAGCCUGAGUUGGCCAGCUCUGCCAGGGCCUUUAACUACCAGUGAUUUGAUUUAUAAGUUCUGUAGACCACCAUGACCCUGGCCUAGGCUAGGGUCAUGUGUGCUAGGGCCACAACAUAUUAGUGCAGGCAACCCCAUAAGAUACAGUUUAGGGGAAAGGAAAAAAUCCAGGACAUGUCCUGUUCUAAUCAACUUUCAUUUUCUACGACGGCCAGUAACUGAAGAUAGACAACCACAAACAGUGAGUUUCACUCUUCCUGGGGAAACAGCAUUGUGGCCCCAGCUCCCAGGGCCAGAAUGGCAGAGGCCCUACUGCUUUAUACCAGUGUGGCUAUAUGGAGUUCCAGACAUAGGACAGUAAUGAAAUGCUGGCUGUAGCAUGAGCCUGUUUGAGGACAAAAGCAGUUGCAGAACACUGCAGGACAACCACCACCACCUCCUCCAAGGCAGCAUGCUGAUCCCUCACUAUAUCCUCUUUCCAUCCCUCUCUAUUUUUAAUAUAAAGACCACACUGAAGUGUGUCAGCAGCUGACGGUGAUGAGGUGGGCUCUCCACUCCCAUAACUGUGUUAACUUCAGACUUAAAAAUCCAGUUCUUCACACAUGUCCCACAUGCAAG
rnacentral:lncRNA from 1 species